AGUGAACGCUGGCGGUAGGCCUAACACAUGCAAGUCGAACGGCAGCACAGUAAGAGCUUGCUCUUACGGGUGGCGAGUGGCGGACGGGUGAGGAAUACAUCGGAAUCUACUUUUUCGUGGGGGAUAACGUAGGGAAACUUACGCUAAUACCGCAUACGACCUACGGGUGAAAGCAGGGGAUCUUCUGACCUUGCGCGAUUGAAUGAGCCGAUGUCGGAUUAGCUAGUUGGCGGGGUAAAGGCCCACCAAGGCGACGAUCCGUAGCUGGUCUGAGAGGAUGAUCAGCCACACUGGAACGGAGACACGGCCCAGACUCCUACGGGAGGCAGCAGUGGGGAAUAUUGGACAAAGGGCGCAAGCCUGAUCCAGCCAUACCGCGUGGGUGAAGAAGGCCUUCGGGUUGUAAAGCCCUUUUGUUGGGAAAGAAAAGCAGCAGGUUAAUACCCCGCUGUUCUGACGGUACCCAAAGAAUAAGCACCGGCUAACUUCGUG
rnacentral:rRNA from 1 species